GCUGGCGACCAUAGCAAGAGUGAACCACCUGAUCCCUUCCCGAACUCAGAAGUGAAACCUCUUAGCGCUGAUGGUAGUGUGGGAUUACCCAUGUGAGAGUAAGUCAUCGCCAGCUC
rnacentral:rRNA from 1 species